CAGGUGACACUGCGAAACUUAUCCCUGACGGACAGCACAUACACACACACGCAAGCAGUGCGAGCACCAUAUAAAGUCAUCUGCAACGUAAGGCCAGAGGUGUGUUGUGCUUUUUCGGCGUGUGGCUUGCUAUUCUCUCUUUCCGUUCGAACCUUUUCAACUUCUCCGCGCGCUUAUGGAGUCGAAACUGAGCAGCGCCUUGCGCAUUUGUGAUAAGUGCAGAACGUAUGCGGAUCUGUGCCGGACAUUUGAAGCGAAGGUUUCCCCAAUCGUUGAACAGGCGCUACAGUCACCCCUUGUGAAGGCUCCCCGUGACCACACCACGCCUGAUGAGUGUAGUCCGCGCGUGGCGGAGCUGCGCGAGGCCUUGUGCACUCGCCUCGGUGUCGACAAGGCUACGCCGGCCGAAGACGAUGUGUGGUUUUUGAUCUAUCGAACCGUCAGCAACUUUGCGGAGCGUCAGCAACGCAAGCGGUCACGUGAUCAAGAUGGCACGCCACUAUCGACGUUGGUCACGAAUUGCUUUGUACUCUUGUGCACCCGCACUUUGCCGCAGCUCGAUCAUAUGAAGCUGCGGUGGGGCUUUUUGAAAAACGAGCGUGCGAAGUUGGAGUCGAGCGACGCCUACACGCACUCCAACGCCUCAGAGCGGCGCAAGCUGCAACUCAAUGCCACUAGCGUCCUCUCUGUCUUCUCGGAGAGGGCACACAAGCACUUCUUUACGUUUGUGUGGAUGCUGUGCGUGGAGAAGGCUGGUGAGGCUGCCCUUCACGUUCAUCUGCUGCACCGGCUGGGGUCUGUUGUUCUUCCCCACCUCACGAACCCGCUUGUGCUAGCGGACUACCUCACCGGCUGUUUCAGCAGCGGCGGCAUCAUCUCGAUCCUUUCGCUGCAAGGGCUGUUUCUACUCAUGCUCGAUCAUGGCCUUGAGUACCCGAAUUAUUACGAGCAACUCUACAGUCUCUUGACACCCGACGUGUUCGCUUCGCGGCACCGGUAUGAGCUGUUCCGGCUUCUAGAUCUCUCCAUGACGUCGCUUCGUGUACCGUCCUACAUUGCCGCAAGCGUUAUCAAGCGCGUAGCACAGGUGUCGCUGAUGGCACCUGCGCCGACGCUUUACUUCAGUCUUCCCUUUCUUCGCAAGGUGUUGCAGUAUCAUCCCAACUGCCUAGCUCUCAUUCACCGGAGCAGCCGAGAGGCUGUAAUCCCUGACGACAUGGCCGACAAAGACGCGGAUACCUUCACAGCACAGUCUGCCAAGGCGCAAGCGAUGCGCGACACCGCAGCUCUUUUCGACGGCCGUGAUCCCUUCGACGACCGCGCAAAGCUGCUAGAAACACACGCGCUGAGCUCCACGUUGUGGGAGCUGACCGCGUUGGAACGGCACUUCAUGCCGGUUGUACCGCUCAUGGUGUCAGCGUUUUCUAGCACGGCAGAGGACAAGACACCACUGCGCUACGAAAAGAGCUACGGCCGCCUCUUUACCGCCGAGGUUACGCGCGCUAUCGAUAGCCAUAAUCUGCCCACAAUCGCCUACGAGGCGCCGUCGGAGGCGGACCCGACCGAUCUGCUCUCCUUCUGAGAGAGAAAGGCGUCCACGGGAUGACGAGGUGGUCUUUGCCGCCGCUGGGUCAGGAUGGCAGUGCUUCAGGCUUCCCAACUGAUUAUCUGAUGCUCACUAAGCCAUGCACGUAUACAAGCAGCGAGAAAGGAAUGGCUAGCGCGGAGUUCCCCACAGGCACCCACGGACCCACAGCGAUACAUUCGAGUAAUUUCUGUAUUAAAUCCGAAACACGACGGCGUAUAACACACAGACGCACAAGG
rnacentral:misc_RNA from 1 species